rnacentral:lncRNA from 1 species
GCCGUCAACUGAGCCGCACAUAACGUACUGCUGUGCCGAACAGCAGUCAAAUAUACAAACAACCAAAGCGGCACGUCCUCGCUUGCCCAAACCUUAGACUAACCUAUGCAGACUGGUGGCGACGCAGACCAUUGCCCGUCGUUCUGACAUUUGAUAUUCAAGGAAUCUGUAGUUCUAUAACCAGGCAUACAUUCAUAGCGCAAUAUCGUCCGCUCCGAGAAUCCUAAUGCACUGAACUUCCGGUAACGGUUCGUAUUGUUUGGUAUACUAGGAUCAGGACAGGAUAUUU